AUAAAUGACAGGAUUCAACUAACUUUAAAAUGUCCGUUAAAGCUGUGAUUAACUAAGUUAAUCACACUCUGUGACAUUCAAAUCUGCGUCCGUGCUUAUCCAGCGAAAGCAGUUUACGUGUAACGUAUGAAACAAACAUUCAGAUAUAUGUUAUUCCGGAAGUACUGGAAUAAAUCUUUAUAGUUCAGAUAUAAACACUGCUGUCUACGAAAACGAUCAAAAGAGAUUAAAUCGUCUUUUCGACAGUGACAAUGCUUCAAAUAUAGUUUCUCUUAAGUGCAACAUUAAUGCCAGCAGGUGGUGACAAGUAAAUUAAAGGUGGGGUGCAUGAUCUCUGAAAGCCAAUGUUGACAUUUGAAAUCACCUAAACAAAUGAAUAAGUAUGAAUGGUCUAUUACAGGGGUGGCGAAUGUCGGUCCUGGAGAGCCGCAGUCCUGCAGAGUUUAGCUCCAGCUCUAAUCAAACACACCUGAACAGGUGGUCUGAGUUUCCAUGAGUUUCCUAGGCUAACUACCCCAGGCAUGAUUGCACAAGACUUUUACACAUUACACCAGGAUGCAGCUCCAAAACUCUUCGAGAAAUGGCUCCCUUGAUAUACCGAUAGGAUCUUGCAUUUUUCUAAACCAGAAGCAAAGCUUCCAUGUUCAGUUGAGGAGAUGACACAAGAUGCAAAGGGAUAUCUUGCAUUAAAGCUGCUCCCUGUUUUGCUUCCACCUCCACCCUUCAAAACUGCCAGAAAAAGUCCGGCCCAGCAUUGAUGAUGGCAAAAAAGCUUUCAUCGACAUUCAGCCUGUUGGAACAAAUAUGAUGGAGUACCUCCAGCAGGCUGAAGCAUCAGGACUUUACCCUUAUUUCCUGUCACUUAAAAAUGGACACAUGAGUCCCAGGCAUUCGUCAUCCUUGGAGGAGAAACUUUGGACAAGGCACUUUGAUUGGGGUAGUAGAAGCACUACAUUCUUGCAAGUAAAUGACAAGAGGUUUUUUGAAUAGACUGGGUUUCAGGUACAAGAGUUAUCAUUUUAGGUUUUUUUUACAGACUUAAAGGUGCUCUAAGCGAAUCUGUGUGACGUUACUUUUUGUUGAUGUUUGAACUGUUUUCAAACAAACGGAGCGUAGCUAACUCCUUCCCUCCCUUCCGUGCUUUCAUGAACGCGCCCAACCCUCAACCCCAAAUCCUUCUUGUCGUUAAUUGGCUGGAACACUUUGUUAUCCUUUCUGGUAGUAGGUUUGGCCACUUUGUUUUUAUUGCAGUUUGUGGAGCCUAGGCUGUCUACAGAGAUCACGUUUUUUACAGUUUGAUCAGCGGACAGGCAGCAAGCAGAUAGUGAGGAGAUGUUUGCUGUAUGUAACAAAAAAUGUUUUAUGGUCUAAAACGCGUGAAUUCGCUUAGAGCACCUUUAAGGAAGAGUAUUACUUGAUGAAUAUUAAUGACAUGUUAAUGAAAUGUUACACUGGCAAAAUGCUGUAUUUCAUAGUUUUUUUGUGUGUGUUCAUAAUGUAGACUAAAACAAUACUGCUUUGUAACAAACAGUUGUUCUUAAAGGUAUUUAAUGAAUUUCAUGAUUUUUUUUAAAUGUUAAAACAUAUAGGGGCGGUUUCACAGACAAGGAUAAGACUAGUCCUAGACUAAAGUAAAUGUAAGAGCUGUCCAAACUGAAAACUACUUGCACUGACAUAUCUUAAAAUAUACCAGUGCCCUUUAUUUUCCCUCAAAAUGCACACAAGUAAUGUUUUUAUUAAGAUAUGUUUGUUCAAACUUGUUAUAUUUCCUAAUUAAUAACUAAGGAUUAGUCCUGGCUUAAGCCAAUCCCUGUCCGGGAAACCACCCCUUACACUUUUGCAAUUAGAGGCAAGUGAAGAAAUUGUUUAAAAUUGUUUAAAAAUGGAAUUUUAUUUAUUGUAUUUAUAGUUUUGUAUGAUCUCCUGAAUUUUUGAUUGAGCUAUUGUGUACAAAGUGUACGUUACACACAUUGUAUUUGUUACAUUACACAAAGUGUAAUAUGCUAAAAAAUAUUAAUGAAAAAUAAAGUUAAUACAAUGUUGA